GAUGAACGCUGGCGGCGUGCCUAAUACAUGCAAGUCGAGCGAACAGACGAGGAGCUUGCUCCUCUGACGUUAGCGGCGGACGGGUGAGUAACACGUGGAUAACCUACCUAUAAGACUGGGAUAACUUCGGGAAACCGGAGCUAAUACCGGAUAAUAUAUUGAACCGCAUGGUUCAAUAGUGAAAGACGGUUUUGCUGUCACUUAUAGAUGGAUCCGCGCCGCAUUAGCUAGUUGGUAAGGUAACGGCUUACCAAGGCAGCGAUGCGUAGCCGACCUGAGAGGGGGAUCGGCCACACUGGAACGGAGCCACGGUCCAGACUCCUACGGGAGGCAGCAGUAGGGAAUCUUCCGCAAUGGGCGAAAGCCUGACGGAGCAACGCCGCGUGAGUGAUGAAGGUCUUCGGAUCGUAAAACUCUGUUAUUAGGGAAGAACAAAUGUGUAAGUAACUAUGCACGUCUUGACGGUACCUAAUCAGAAAGCCACGGCUAACUACGUG
rnacentral:rRNA from 1 species